GACGAACGCUGGCGGCGUGCUUAACACAUGCAAGUCGAACGGAAAGGCCCUGCUUUUGUGGGGUGCUCGAGUGGCGAACGGGUGAGUAACACGUGAGUAACCUGCCCUUGACUUUGGGAUAACUUCAGGAAACUGGGGCUAAUACCGGAUAGGAGCUCCUGCUGCAUGGUGGGGGUUGGAAAGUUUCGGCGGUUGGGGAUGGACUCGCGGCUUAUCAGCUUGUUGGUGGGGUAGUGGCUUACCAAGGCUUUGACGGGUAGCCGGCCUGAGAGGGUGAACGGCCACAUUGGGACUGAGAUACGGACCAGACGCCUACGGGAGGCAGCAGUGGGGAAUAUUGCACAAUGGGCGGAAGCCUGAUGCAGCAACGCCGCGUGCGGGAUGACGGCCUUCGGGUUGUAAACCGCUUUCGCCUGUGACGAAGCGUGAGUGACGGUAAUGGGUAAAGAAGCACCGGCUAACUACGUG
rnacentral:rRNA from 1 species